rnacentral:tRNA from 10 species
CGGGUGUAGCUCAGUUGGUUAGAGCGCCGGCCUGUCACGCCGGAGGUCGCGGGUUCGAGCCCCGUCACUC